GGUUAAGCGACUAAGCGUACACGGUGGAUGCCCUGGCAGUCAGAGGCGAUGAAGGGCGUGCUAAUCUGCGAUAAGCGCCGGUAAGGUGAUAUGAACCGUUAUAACCGGCGAUACCCGAAUGGGGAAACCCAGUGUGACUCGUCACACUAUCAUUAACUGAAUCCAUAGGUUAAUGAGGCGAACCGGGGGAACUGAAACAUCUAAGUACCCCGAGGAAAAGAAAUCAACCGAGAUUCCCCCAGUAGCGGCGAGCGAACGGGGAGGAGCCCAGAGCCUGAAUCAGCAUGUGUGUUAGUGGAAGCGUCUGGAAAGGCGCGCGAUACAGGGUGACAGCCCCGUACACAAAAGCGCAUGUGCUGUGAGCUCGAUGAGUAGGGCGGGACACGUGGUAUCCUGUCUGAAUAUGGGGGGACCAUCCUCCAAGGCUAAAUACUCCUGACUGACCGAUAGUGAACCAGUACCGUGAGGGAAAGGCGAAAAGAACCCCGGCGAGGGGAGUGAAAAAGAACCUGAAACCGUGUACGUACAAGCAGUGGGAGCACCCUUUGGGGUGUGACUGCGUACCUUUUGUAUAAUGGGUCAGCGACUUAUAUUCUGUAGCAAGGUUAACCGAAUAGGGGAGCCGGAGGGAAACCGAGUCUUAAUUGGGCGUUAAGUUGCAGGGUAUAGACCCGAAACCCGGUGAUCUAGCCAUGGGCAGGUUGAAGGUUGGGUAACACUAACUGGAGGACCGAACCGACUAAUGUUGAAAAAUUAGCGGAUGACCUGUGGCUGGGGGUGAAAGGCCAAUCAAACCGGGAGAUAGCUGGUUCUCCCCGAAAGCUAUUUAGGUAGCGCCUCGUGAAUUCAUCUCCGGGGGUAGAGCACUGUUUCGGCUAGGGGGCCAUCCCGGCUUACCAACCCGAUGCAAACUGCGAAUACCGGAGAAUGUUAUCACGGGAGACACACGGCGGGUGCUAACGUCCGUCGUGAAGAGGGAAACAACCCAGACCGCCAGCUAAGGUCCCAAAGUCAUGGUUAAGUGGGAAACGAUGUGGGAAGGCCCAGACAGCCAGGAUGUUGGCUUAGAAGCAGCCAUCAUUUAAAGAAAGCGUAAUAGCUCACUGGUCGAGUCGGCCUGCGCGGAAGAUGUAACGGGGCUAAACCAUGCACCGAAGCUGCGGCAGCGAACGUAUCACUUAAAGCGAUUCAGCGGGUUACGAUUGACGGAGCGAAGCGACGUCAAAGCGUAUACAAAGUCGAGUCGGUUUAAGGAUACGUUCGUUGGGUAGGGGAGCGUUCUGUAAGCCUGUGAAGGUGGCCUGUGAGGGUUGCUGGAGGUAUCAGAAGUGCGAAUGCUGACAUAAGUAACGAUAAAGCGGGUGAAAAGCCCGCUCGCCGGAAGACCAAGGGUUCCUGUCCAACGUUAAUCGGGGCAGGGUGAGUCGACCCCUAAGGCGAGGCCGAAAGGCGUAGUCGAUGGGAAACAGGUUAAUAUUCCUGUACUUGGUGUUACUGCGAAGGGGGGACGGAGAAGGCUAUGUUGGCCGGGCGACGGUUGUCCCGGUUUAAGCGUGUAGGUGUGUGUUCCAGGUAAAUCCGGUUCACUUUAACACUGAGGCGUGAUGACGAGGCACUACGGUGCUGAAGCAACAAAUGCCCUGCUUCCAGGAAAAGCCUCUAAGCAUCAGGUAACAUCAAAUCGUACCCCAAACCGACACAGGUGGUCAGGUAGAGAAUACCAAGGCGCUUGAGAGAACUCGGGUGAAGGAACUAGGCAAAAUGGUGCCGUAACUUCGGGAGAAGGCACGCUGACACGUAGGUGAAGUGAUUUACUCAUGGAGCUGAAGUCAGUCGAAGAUACCAGCUGGCUGCAACUGUUUAUUAAAAACACAGCACUGUGCAAACACGAAAGUGGACGUAUACGGUGUGACGCCUGCCCGGUGCCGGAAGGUUAAUUGAUGGGGUCAGCGCAAGCGAAGCUCCUGAUCGAAGCCCCGGUAAACGGCGGCCGUAACUAUAACGGUCCUAAGGUAGCGAAAUUCCUUGUCGGGUAAGUUCCGACCUGCACGAAUGGCGUAAUGAUGGCCAGGCUGUCUCCACCCGAGACUCAGUGAAAUUGAACUCGCUGUGAAGAUGCAGUGUACCCGCGGCAAGACGGAAAGACCCCGUGAACCUUUACUAUAGCUUGACACUGAACAUUGAGCCUUGAUGUGUAGGAUAGGUGGGAGGCUUUGAAGUGUGGACGCCAGUCUGCAUGGAGCCGACCUUGAAAUACCACCCUUUAAUGUUUGAUGUUCUAACGUGGACCCGUAAUCCGGGUUGCGGACAGUGUCUGGUGGGUAGUUUGACUGGGGCGGUCUCCUCCUAAAGAGUAACGGAGGAGCACGAAGGUUGGCUAAUCCUGGUCGGACAUCAGGAGGUUAGUGCAAUGGCAUAAGCCAGCUUGACUGCGAGCGUGACGGCGCGAGCAGGUGCGAAAGCAGGUCAUAGUGAUCCGGUGGUUCUGAAUGGAAGGGCCAUCGCUCAACGGAUAAAAGGUACUCCGGGGAUAACAGGCUGAUACCGCCCAAGAGUUCAUAUCGACGGCGGUGUUUGGCACCUCGAUGUCGGCUCAUCACAUCCUGGGGCUGAAGUAGGUCCCAAGGGUAUGGCUGUUCGCCAUUUAAAGUGGUACGCGAGCUGGGUUUAGAACGUCGUGAGACAGUUCGGUCCCUAUCUGCCGUGGGCGCUGGAGAACUGAGGGGGGCUGCUCCUAGUACGAGAGGACCGGAGUGGACGCAUCACUGGUGUUCGGGUUGUCAUGCCAAUGGCACUGCCCGGUAGCUAAAUGCGGAAGAGAUAAGUGCUGAAAGCAUCUAAGCACGAAACUUGCCCCGAGAUGAGUUCUCCCUGAGACUUAGAGUCUCCUGAAGGAACGUUGAAGACGACGACGUUGAUAGGCCGGGUGUGUAAGCGCAGCGAUGCGUUGAGCUAACCGGUACUAAUGAACCGUGAGGCUUAACCUU
rnacentral:rRNA from 1 species